GGAACCACAUCUCAAACUGUGGAUUCUAAUGAAAUGGAGAAUAUGAGGGUCACUCUUGAGGCUAUGACCCGAACUCUUGAAAGGUUGAGUACGAAAGUAGGAGCCAUAAGGGGAGAAGUGACAACUAUUAGUGGGAGGUUAGAACAAGUGGAGAGUCAAAGGAACUCUCGUCCUUCUACUCCUCGAUAUGUUUCAUCAAGUGGACAUGAUAGAAAUUCCUCCGCCACCGUUACUCCCGAAACAUGG
rnacentral:lncRNA from 1 species